rnacentral:rRNA from 1 species
UACGGAAGGCAGCAGUGGGGAAUAUUGCACAAUGGGCGCAAGCCUGAUGCAGCCAUGCCGCGUGUAUGAAAAAGGCCUUCGGGUUGUAAAGUACUUUCAGUCGUGAGGAAGGUGUUAAGGUUAAUAACCUUAGCAAUUGACGUUAGCGACAGAAGAAGCACCGGCUAACUCCGUGCCAGCAGCCGCGGUAAUACGGAGGGUGCGAGCGUUAAUCGGAAUUACUGGGCGUAAAGGGCACGCAGGCGGUUAAUUAAGUUGGAUGUGAAAUCCCCGGGCUUAACCUGGGAAUGGCAUUCAAGACUGGUUAGCUAGAGUCUUGUAGAGGGGGUAGAAUUCCAUGUGUAGCGGUGAAAUGCGUAGAGAUGUGGAGGAAAUACCGGUGGCGGAAGGCGGCCCCUGGACAAAGACUGACGCUCAUGUGCGAAAGCGUGGGGAGCAAACAGGGAUUAGAUACC